AUCCAUCUGAUGAGUUCAAAAUUGGACGAAACGCGCGUCCUGGAU
rfam:Schistosoma margrebowiei strain Zambia genome assembly, scaffold: SMRZ_scaffold0000035